UCUUCUCUCUCUCCCUCUCCCUCUCUCUCUCUCUCUCUCUCUCUCUUUUAAAAAAUCAGCCAUUUGGGGUUUUAAGCCAUAAACGAUUUUUCUUGUUGCAGGGAUUGCAGUGGCAAAGCUAGGCUAGGUCUUGGAGGCUGGUGUAAGGCGAUGCGGGUGAAGCCAGGAGGCUGAUGGAAAGACUGGGGGGAAGAAAAGCCGAAAUGGAUUCACGGUGCUUUGGAUGAAGGACGAGAGGGGAACUGCUCCUUCACCUCGUUCUGUCCGGUGAGAAGUGAUCAAGCUUGGGCUGACAAGAGGCUCAGGGAGCCCUCACGUUCUUUCGCUUUUUUACCUGCCAAUCAAACUGCUACAAGACAACACCCUGAUCUGGCAUGGACAUCGCGGGUCCAAGCCUGCAGCCCCAAAUCGGAUAAUCUCUACAGCUGAUAACAAGCAAAAGAGAAGCCAGGCAACAGCCAUAUUAAAGAAGAAAACAGUCAACUCUGAGAUCCAACUUAGAAAUCGUGUUUCAUUCAAGAUAAGGCUCGUGGUGUAGGAGGUUGUGACCUGGCUUGCAUCAUUCCAAGACUUCUAUCAUCUGUUUUCCAAACCCAAGGAGGACCUCGUUUUCUGUGUGAUAGUUCUUCAUGCUUUGCCAGCCAAUGGGUCUUUAAGGAAGCUUGCCAAGAGUUCCCGGCUGGGAAGGACAGUUUGAAUUCAUCAUAGACAAUGAGCUGGCACCACAGUUUAAGUGACUCACCAACCUGGUUACCCACUUCAACAUGUCAAGAACCACACUAUCUAAUUGAAAGAACUGUGUUUCAGCAAAGUGUAAUUGGAUUGCACGGCAAGAUCAGCUCAAACUAUGCCUCUGACCUUGCCUUUCAGUGGCUGUUUUGAGCACAAGAGGAGAAAGGAAAUGGUUCCUGAAUUACAUUUGGU